ensembl:lncRNA
CACAGCAGAAUUAAAAUGUCAGGGUUACCACCCGGGCGCUAGAGCCAGGGUUCAGGGUGGGCCUUGGGCCUCCAUCCGCAUUUGCCUUCUGUGUGAUGUGGGUAAGUGACUCACCGGCCCUGGGCCUGUUUUCUCCUUCGUUAGGUAGCACUUUCUUGUGGGUUUUAUAAGUAAAGUGUUGAGGAACGCACCCUAUAACUUAGCUGUUACCCUCUUGUUGUUCUUUUAAGGGGGCUACAGUAAGACAGCCGUUCAGUUCACUUCGUGUCUGACUCUCUGCGACCCCAUGGACUGCAGCCUACCAGGCCUCCCUGUCCGUCACCGACUGACAUCAUCUAAUUAAUUGUCUACAUUUUCUGACUGGGCAAAGAGCGGGUUUCAAGCGUUGGAGCCCACAGGAUGGAGGGCUAGUGUAGGCACCGGAGUGUUCUAACGGUGUCCUUCUGGUACUGAUGACACCCCCAGGGGUGUUUAAUCCACAUACAUGGAGCGGAUGUACACAGCAGGUGUUUAAUCCACAUACGUGGAGUGAAUGGCCACUUGCUGCUGCUGCUGCUGCUGCUGCUGCUGCUAAGUCGCUUCAGUCGUGUCCGACUCUGUGCGACGCCAUAGACCCUGCAUACAACCGGACAGCAACC